rnacentral:rRNA from 1 species
CCAAUAGCGUAUAUUAAAGUUGUUGCAGUUAAAAAGCUCGUAGUUGAAUUUCGGGAUCAAUAUUUCGGUCAUGCCGUUGGUAUGCACUGUUAUCAUUGAUUUCUCACCUUCUAAAGAACCGUAAUGCCAUUAAUUUGGUGUUACGGGGAAUUAGGACUGUUACCUUGAAAAAAUUAGAGUGUUUAAAGCAGGCUCACGCUUGAAUACAUUAGCAUGGAAUAAUGAAAUAGGACAUCCGAUUCUAUUUUGUUGGUUUCUAGGAUCGAUGUAAUGAUUAAUAGGGAUAGUUGGGGGCAUUAGUAUUCAAUUGUCAGAGGUAAAAUUCUUGAAUUUAUUGAAGACUAACUACUGCGAAAGCAUUUGCCAAGGAUGUUUUCAUUAAUAAAGGACGAAAGUUGGGGGAUCGAAGACGAUCAGAUACCGUCGUAGUCUUAACCAUAAACUAUGCCGACUAGGGAUCGGAUGAUGUUAAUUUUUUAAUGACUCAUUCGGCGCCUUACG